AUGACAGAGGAGAUGUACCUCACUAAAAUAGAGCAUCUUCAGGACCAGCUGGAAAGCUGUCAGCUGGAGUGUGGGCAGCUGGAGAAGCAGAAUAAGGACCUGCUCGUUCUGACCGACAAGCUGGAGAAAGACAAAGUGGAAGCCAGUAAGUGUGUAACUCGCAUGGCAGCCCAGAAAGAGAAGAGGUUGGACGAGCUGCACGAUGAGCUGAUCCGCCAGAAAGAAAACAGCCAGUGGGCGAUCAGAGAAAUCCUGCAGAAUCACAGCCGGGAGAUGGAAGAGAUCCAGCAGCAAAUUGACCAUCUCAACACUAUUAAAGCCCAGCAAGCUGUAGAAAUAGAAGAAGGUGAGAAGAAGCUGAUGGAGCUGAAGCAGCAAAAGUCUCAAGCAGAGUCACUGGAAAAGGAAAUUCUACUUGCAGAAAUAGCAUUCCAGAAAAGAACGGAGGAGAUGGAGUCAUUGAUGAAAAAGUCUUUGGAAAGACGGCAGGAAAGACUGGAAGAAAAAAGAAAAAGAGAUGCCGACAUUAUUUUUGAGCAGCUGAAUGCUAAAAUUGAGGAAAGGCUGGAGUUUUGUAAGUUCUUGUCAAAGGAAGCUAAAGAACAGGCUCAGGAGGUUGCUGAUCUCAAGGACAAAGUAGCUGACAUCUCAGCGAUGAGGAGUGACGUCAUGGCACAGAGUCGUGUCACUGCUGAGGAGAAAUCAUCUCUCAUUAAGGAACUGAAGGAACAUGAGAAGUUGUUAAAGCAGAUCAUCUCAGAGAGAACCCGUCAGAGAACCAAACUGCAGCUGAAAGUGGAGGAGACUGACAAACACAGGGCACCACCCAGACUGAAGUUGUCCUUCCGUAGACGAUCAGCUCCGUCCUCUCUGCCCCACUGGACUGCAGAACCAGAAGCCUUCAGUCCUUCAACCACGCCUGUCAUGACUCGGCCACCAGAGAGAUCAUAGACAGGGACGUCUCGUUCUCCAGCCUCAUCUUUCCUGGAUCCUUGAUUGACGUUAUGAAUUCACCUAAAAUAAAAAUGUACAUGUAAAAAUUUCAAUAACAGAUCAUUUUUACAACUGUUGUUUGUUUUUGUUUUUUUGCGUGGGGCUGUUGGCGCGAAAGUAAACCUCAACUCAUUUCCCCAAAUUCCUUUGUUUACACUCUUUCCUGUUACCUUACAGCCCUUCAUCACAACCCCAAGCUAACAUUAACAAUUCAACAAAUGUGGAGAUCAAUAUUGGAGUUAUCCAGCUGUACAGUUUUGAGCCAGAGGCCAGCAUGGAUGAGGAAAAUGAAAACAUACUUGUCUGCAAGUGGAUGCAUUGGAAUGGAGCAGAGCAGGAAGGUCUGUCUGCUCCAGACUCACCAAAAUUUGAAUUAAAAAU
rnacentral:lncRNA from 1 species